rnacentral:rRNA from 1 species
GUAGGGAAUCUUCCACAAUGGGUGAAAACUCUGAUGGAGCAAUACCGCGUGAGUGAAGAAGGUCUUCGGAUCGUAAAGCUCUGUUGUUAGAGAAGAAUAAGUCGGGUAGUAACUGCCCCGGCCUUGACGGUAUCUAACCAGAAAGUCACGGCUAACUACGUGCCAGCAGCCGCGGUAAUACGUAGGUGACAAGCGUUAGUCCGGAUUUAUUGGGCGUAAAGCGAGCGCAGGCGGUCUUUUAAGUCUGAUGUGAAAGCCCACGGCUCAACCGUGGAGGGUCAUUGGAAACUGGAAGACUUGAAUGCAGAA